rnacentral:rRNA from 1 species
GUGAAGCGGCAACAGCUCAAAUUUGAAAUCUGGCUCUCGGGCCCGAGUUGUAAUUUGUAGAGGAUGCUUUUGGUGAGGUGCCUUCCGAGUUCCCUGGAACGGGACGCCAUAGAGGGUGAGAGCCCCGUCUGGUUGGACACCGAUCCUCUGUAAAGCUCCUUCGACGAGUCGAGUAGUUUGGGAAUGCUGCUCUAAAUGGGAGGUAUAUGUCUUCUAAAGCUAAAUACCGGCCAGAGACCGAUAGCGCACAAGUAGAGUGAUCGAAAGAUGAAAAGAACUUUGAAAAGAGAGUUAAAAAGUACGUGAAAUUGUUGAAAGGGAAGCGCUUGUGACCAGACUUGGGCUUGGUUGAUCAUCCGGGGUUCUCCCCGGUGCACUCUUCCGGCUCAGGCCAGCAUCAGUUCGCCCUGGGGGAUAAAGGCUUCGGGAAUGUGGCUCUCUCCGGGGAGUGUUAUAGCCCGCUGCGUAAUACCCUGUGGCGGACUGAGGUUCGCGCAUUCGCAAGGAUGCUGGCGUAAUGGUCAUCAGUGACCCGU